UAUGAGUAGCGAAAGACGGGUGAGAAUCCCGUCCACCGAAUGCCUAAGGUUUCCUGAGGAAGGCUCGUCCGCUCAGGGUUAGUCGGGACCUAAGCCGAGGCCGAAAGGCGUAGGCGAUGGACAACAGGUUGAUAUUCCUGUACCACCUCCUCACCAUUUGAGCAAUGGGGGGACGCAGGAGGAUAGGGUAAGCGCGGUAUUGGAUAUCCGCGUCCAAGCAGUUAGGCUGGGAAAUAGGCAAAUCCGUUUCCCGUAAAGGCUGAGCUGUGAUGGCGAGCGAAAUUUAGUAGCGAAGUUCCUGAUUCCACACUGCCAAGAAAAGCCUCUAGCGAGGUGAGAGGUGCCCGUACCGCAAACCGACACAGGUAGGCGAGGAGAGAAUCCUAAGGUGAUCGAGAGAACUCUCGUUAAGGAACUCGGCAAAAUGACCCCGUAACUUCGGGAGAAGGGGUGCUUCUUAGGGUGUUAAAGCCCCGAGAAGCCGCAGUGAAUAGGCCCAGGCGACUGUUUAGCAAAAACACAGGUCUCUGCGAAGCCGUAAGGCGAAGUAUAGGGGCUGACGCCUGCCCGGUGCUGGAA
rnacentral:rRNA from 1 species